GACGUAGGGCGCGAGCGUUGUCCGGAUUUAUUGGGCGUAAAGAGCUCGUAGGCGGCUUGUCGCGUCGACCGUGAAACCUCACAGCUCAACUGUGAGCCUGCGGUCGAUACGGGCAGGCUAGAGUUCGGUAGGGGAGACUGGAAUUCUUGGUGUAGCGGUGAAAUGCGUAGAUAUCAGGAGGAAUACCGAUGGCGAAGGCAGGUCUCUGGGCCUUACCUGACGCUGAGGCGCGAAAGCUAGGGGAGCGAACAGG
rnacentral:rRNA from 1 species